rnacentral:rRNA from 1 species
CCUACGGGAGGCAGCAGUGGGGAAUAUUGGGCAAUGGAGGAAACUCUGACCCAGCAACGCCGCGUGAAGGAUGAAGGUUUUCGGAUUGUAAACUUCUUUCGCUAGGGACGAAGAAUGACGGUACCUCGUAAGAAAGCCCCGGCUAACUACGUGCCAGCAGCCGCGGUAAUACGUAGGGGGCGAGCGUUUUCCGGAAGGACUGGGCGUAAAGGGAGUGUAGGCGGGAAUAUAAGUUAGAUGUGAAAUCCCGCGGCUCAACCGCGGAACUGCAUCUAAAACUAGAUAGCUGGAGUGCAGGAGAGGUGAGUGGAAUUCCUAGUGUAGCGGUGGAAUGCGUAGAUAUUGCGCAGAACACCGAUUGCGAAGGCAGCAUACCGGAGGCGAUCUGACGCUGAGGCACGAAAGCGUGGGUAUCGAACAGGAUUAGAUACCCUUGUAGUC